AAGAAUGGCAGUUGCGGCGCUGGUUCCCGGGAACAGCAGUCAAGACAGAACUGCGGAGGAGGAGUCCGGGAAAGCGGCAGUCUGGACCCCUCCUCUCCGUUCCCCCCGCCCCAGCUGAGAGGCGCCUUGGCGGGUCUGAGGAACCCUCCUCCGUACUUCCUUUGGCUGCUGCCGCCGCCAGGAGAUGGGCCUGCUCGCCCGCAGCCCUGCGCCCUGCGUCUCCCUGAGGAGUUGAAGCACAAGGGUCCCUAGCACCCCUAACCCACGGACCACUGCCAGUGGCAGCACAGCAGGAACCGGGCAGCACAACAGGAGAACAUCUGUGAUAAGUCUACCAUAAAUUGAACUCCUUCAAGAAUUCUCUGAAGGAACCAAAUAGGAUUUUCUUACAUCAUGACUUAAUCUGAAUGCAAGAACAAGAAACAGGUUUUAUCUCUAAAUAUAAUGAAGGGCUGUGUGUAAACACAGACCCUGACUCAAUUCUAAUGAGCAUUUUAGACAUGAGUUUACAUCGGCAAAUGGGUUCAGAUCGAGAUCUUCAGUCUUCUGCUUCAUCUGUGAGCUUGCCUUCAGUCAAAAAGGCACCCAAAAAAAGAAGAAUUUCAAUAGGCUCUCUGUUUCGGAGGAAAAAGGAUAACAAACGUAAAUCAAGGGAGCUAAAUGGCGGGGUGGAUGGAAUUGCGAGUAUUGAAAGUAUACAUUCCGAAAUAUGUACUGAUAAGAACUCCAUUUUCUCUACAAAUACCUCCUCUGACAAUGGAUUAACUUCUAUCAGCAAACAAGUUGGAGACUUUAUAGAGUGCCCCUUGUGCCUUUUACGGCAUUCUAAAGACAGAUUUCCUGAAAUAAUGACUUGUCAUCAUAGAUCUUGUGUGGAUUGCUUACGACAAUACCUAAGGAUAGAAAUUUCUGAAAGUAGGGUUAAUAUCAGUUGCCCAGAAUGUACUGAACGGUUUAAUCCCCACGAUAUUCGCUUGAUAUUAAGUGAUGAUGUCUUGAUGGAAAAAUAUGAAGAAUUUAUGCUUAGACGGUGGCUCGUUGCGGAUCCUGAUUGUAGGUGGUGUCCAGCUCCAGACUGUGGGUAUGCUGUGAUAGCAUUCGGAUGUGCUAGCUGUCCAAAAUUAACUUGUGGGCGAGAAGGCUGUGGAACAGAGUUUUGCUACCACUGUAAACAGAUUUGGCACCCCAAUCAGACCUGUGAUGCUGCUCGACAGGAGAGAGCCCAGAGUUUACGUCUGAGAACUAUACGUUCUUCGUCCAUUAGUUAUAGUCAAGAGUCUGGAGCAGCAGAUAUUACCAAUUCCAGGAUCAGGGAUUCAGAAUCAUACCUUGCUGAUGAUAUAAAACCAUGUCCACGGUGUGCUGCUUAUAUAAUAAAGAUGAAUGAUGGGAGCUGUAAUCACAUGACAUGUGCUGUCUGUGGUUGUGAGUUUUGUUGGUUGUGUAUGAAAGAAAUCUCGGAUUUACAUUAUCUAAGUCCAUCAGGAUGUACUUUUUGGGGGAAGAAACCCUGGAGCCGAAAGAAGAAAAUAUUGUGGCAGCUGGGAACACUUGUUGGUGCUCCUGUAGGAAUUGCUUUAAUAGCUGGCAUUGCUAUCCCUGCCAUGAUUAUUGGCAUUCCUGUAUAUGUGGGCCGUAAGAUUCACAAUCGAUAUGAAGGCAAGGAUGUUUCAAAGCACAAACGGAAUUUGGCCAUAGCAGGUGGUGUAACAUUGUCUGUAAUCGUAUCUCCAGUUGUAGCUGCAGUAACUGUAGGUAUUGGUGUUCCUAUUAUGUUAGCUUAUGUCUAUGGUGUUGUUCCGAUUUCUCUCUGUCGAAGCGGAGGUUGUGGGGUCUCAGCAGGCAAUGGAAAAGGAGUCAGGAUUGAAUUUGAUGAUGAAAAUGAUAUAAAUGUUGGUGGGACAAACACAGCUGUAGACACAACUUCAGUAGCAGAAGCAAGACACAACCCUAGCAUAGGGGAGGGAAGUGUUGGUGGUUUGACCGGCAGUUUGAGUGCAAGUGGAAGCCACAUGGAUCGAAUAGGAGCCAUCCGGGACAACCUGAGUGAAACGGCCAGCACCAUGGCGCUCGCUGGAGCCAGUAUCACAGGGAGUCUGUCAGGAAGUGCCAUGGUAAACUGUUUUCACAGGUUGGAAGUACAAGCAGAUGUACAGAAAGAACGGUACAGCCUAAGUGGAGAAUCUGGCACAGUCAGUUUGGGAACAGUUAGUGAUAAUGCCAGCACCAAGGCAAUGGCAGGAUCCAUUCUGAAUUCCUACAUCCCAUUGGACAAAGAAGGCAACAGUAUGGAGGUUCAGGUAGAUAUCGAGUCAAAGCCAUCCAAAUUCAGGCACAACAGUGGAAGCAGCAGUGUGGAGGAUGGCAGUGCCACCCGAAGUCAUCCUGGGGGUUCAUCCAGUGGCUUGCCUGAAGGUGCCAUUGGUACAAAGAUCUAAAGGAAGUGAGGGAGGAACUAUGAAGACAUACCUAUUGGAUGAGCAUUCCAGAAAGAGAUCUUCCCCCAGACAAGUCAACUCAGAACACCGCAGCAGUGCUUAGAGCUAUGAUAGAGCUGUGCACAUGGCACCAUGAGGAAACAAAGACAGAUCAUCUAACUCAGCCAAGGGAGGCUCUCCGUCCAGGGCAGAUUAGCAGGCCUCUGCUUCAGGCCCACACUCAAAGCACCAGGCUGUUGGAGGGGUCAUCAUCUUGUGACCCACUGACUGGAACAUGAGGCCUUCUCAGUCACUGCAGCGAGGGAAAAGGCUGUGUGAGGGCUUUGUGCCAGCUCGUGCAUACUCUGGCCCAGAAGUGACGGACAGCUUUUACCUGUACCCCAGCAGUCCCCAACUUUCUUGGCACCAGGGACCCGUUUCGUGGAAGACAGUUUUUCCACCGACGGGGCUGGUUCGGUGGUAACGUGAGCGAACGGAGAGGAUGAGCCAGGUGUGCUGAGUGCGAGUGACGGGGAUCGGUGGGGAGCAGCAGUGAAGCCUCACUCGCUUCCCCAGAAGGGGAAGAAAACCAGGUAUAAAGGUGUUUUCAUGUCAUUGAUGAGCCUCUUUUCAUGUCAGCUUGAAGAACUCCUUUCAACAUUUCUUGCAAGGCAGGUCUAAUGGUGAGAAACUCCCUCAGCUUUUGUUUGUCUUGAGAGUGUCUUUAUUUUUCCUUCAUAUCUGAAGAAUAACUUUGCUAGAUAGAAUAUUCUUGGCUGGGAGUUUUUAAUCUUUCAAUGCUCUGAAUAUGUAAUCCCACUCUCUCCUAGCCUGCAGGGGUUUUGGUGAGAAACCUGUUGAUAGCCCAAUGGAUGUACCUUCGUAGGUUACACUUUUUUUUCCCCCCUGGCUGCCUUUAGAACUCUUUAUCUUUGAUUUUUGGUAGUUUCAUUACAACGUGUCUUGGAGAAGGUAUUUUCACAUUUAGAUAACAGGGUGAUCUAUUAGCUUUGUGAAUUUGGAUGUCCAAGUCUCCCCAGAUUUGGGAAGUUUUCAGCUAUUAUUUAAGUAAACUUUCUGUCUCCUUCUCCCUCUGGAUCCCCAAUUCUUCUAGUAUUGAUAUUUGCUCUCUGUCUCAAGUCCCAUAGAGCAUGCAUGCUUUCUUUGCUCUUUUUUAUUCUGAUUUAUUUCAAAAUUCUCAUCCCCUAAGUCAUUUAUUCUGUCUUCCAUCUGCUCUGAGCUACUGCAGAGGCUCUCCAGUGCAUUCUUCAUCUCAUUCACCAGAAUUUCUGUUUAGUUCUUUUUUGUUAUUUUUUGGUAAAGAGUUAAUUUUGUUCACGUAUUUUCCUUCCUAUUGUCAUGAAGCUGUCUUUCUGAGUUUUCUUGUAGCUCACCUCAGAACAGCUUCUUCAGAAGAGUUUCUUCAGAACAGCUAUUCUGAUCUCUUUAUCAGCUACAUCAGAGUAUUCUGUCGCUUUGAGCUCGAUUGUUGGAGGAUUACUGGUAUCUUUUGGAGGUGACAUAUUUUGAUUUUUCAUGUUCCUUGUAUUUUUGUGUUGCUGUUUUUGCAUUUGAAGUAGCAGGCACCUCCUUAAAUCUUUACUGGUUGCCUUUAGUUGGGAUACUAAUCAUUGGUGUUGCUAUAUGAGGGGUUUCCUCAGUUUCUGAAUGGGUAGACCCGCUCCACUCUUCUUGUUCUGCCUUGUGGCAGAAUCCUUAACCUUUUAUGUUUCUCCUUAUUCUUAGAAUUCAUCAGACCGGCUGCUGGAAACCUCUCUUUUGUCUUCCAGAAGGUGGUGUUAUAGCUCCAGUUGCAAUUUCUCCCUUACCCACAGACUCUGGUCCAUCCUUCUGAGAAUACUCCAACUACUGCGCCUGCUCUCACUGCUGCAGCACUCAGGAGCAUGCAGAAGGAUCUGGUCACAGAAUGGCAGGAGGUGUGGGUUUAGCACUUGGGGUGUUGGGGAUGCCCACGGACCCAGUGGGGAGAUCCCUAAGUAGGGUACUCCCAGAGGCUUGUGGGCAGACUUCCUGCUGAAGUCCUGAAGCUGUCUGCAGGAACUGUGCUCCUUUAAUGCCCUUGAUAUUCUUAUCUGCUUCCUUCACUUUCUCUUCCCUUCCUUCAGUCAUGGAGGUCCUCCCUCAGGACUCCGGCUGGGGAGAAACAAGUUUCUCCAGGUGUGAACCCAACAGUUGGGACAGCCCGGCACUUGCUCACUGCUUACCACCUCCUCCACGGGAGAGGCUGCCCCAUGCAGCUAGUACUGGAGCAAGAAAAUGCUUCAGAAGAAGAAACCUGACCAAAGACUACAGGAAUAAAUGACAGCACACUGAUAGAGACCUGAAGGUUUUAUCAUAUAAAAGAUGCUGAUAUACCAAAGAAGGAUCUUUAUCAAUAAGAUUAUUUUUCAGAGACUGGAUGAGGAGCAGGAAUGUAUCCCCUUCAAGUUUGUUGCUCAACAACACUGGCAAGUCUUUCGGUUCAGUGAUGGCUAACAGGUGUUCCAGGCACGGAAUCAUACUGAAAGGCAAGAAGGGGGGGCAGCGGGGCAAGCUGAGGGAGUAAUAAUAGCUAACUCUUACCCGUCUCAACAUUUUGCAAGUAUUCUUAUUUUAGUCCCACAAUAGCCCUAUAAAUACUGUUACUGUCCCCAUUUAAAGAUGAGGAAACUGAGGCAUAGAAACAUGAUCUUUGAGAUGAUGCAAGCAGCAAUGAGCAGAAGGUGAAUGAUAAGACGGUUGUGGAGCUCAAGUGAGAGGCCUGAAAAUGGAGAUUUGUGAGCUGCAGCCUUGGGAAUAGAAGGCCACCGGCAAGGAGUUGACAUGACUCUUUUUUCAUCCAUUCAAGGAACAACUGUGCCUAAAGACCAAUCUGUCCGGUUGGAAGAAACCUAAGAAAGCAAGAAAUACACUUUGAUAAAUGUUAAACAGAGGCAGGCAAGUGUGAAGAGAGGGCCCGACAGCAGGAGGCACGGGGAUGGCCAUGGAGCAGGGAGGCGGUGGCAGAGGAGGGGCCGGGGUGCCGGGUCAACACAGCAUCAGACUAGAUCCGGCCCCUCCGUGGGCCAGGGGCUAGGACACCAUGGGAGAAAGGACAGCCGGGGCCCUGGCCCUCGUGGAAGCUUACGUCUUAUGAGGGGAAACAGUAAGAAAACAAGUGAACAAAUGAAUAAAUAAAGUAAGCGUGCACUGUCAUUUAUGCAAUUAAGAGAAGCAAGGAUGGAGACGGAUGCUAACGAGGGGAAGGAGUCUCCUUUGACACGGGUGUCAGAGAACAAAGGACCUGAAGGGAAGCCAGCCACGCAGAGUGGGGGGCAGAGCAGAGCUCACACAGAGAGAAAAGUGCGGCUCCAGCAAAAAGGAGGCCGUUAAAAGUUGCUAAUAACCUUAUCAGGCCUCAAAAAAAAAAAAAAGGUAAAGUAUAAUCACGUGUUUGUGAUAACAUUUACUAUUAAUAAAUGUGCUUAAACUCCAA